rnacentral:rRNA from 1 species
UACGAAGGGGGCUAGCGUUGCUCGGAAUCACUGGGCGUAAAGGGCGCGUAGGCGGCCGAUUAAGUCGGGGGUGAAAGCCUGUGGCUCAACCACAGAAUUGCCUUCGAUACUGGUUGGGCUUGAGACCGGAAGAGGACAGCGGAACUGCGAGUGUAGAGGUGAAAUUCGUAGAUAUUCGCAAGAACACCAGUGGCGAAGGCGGCUGUCUGGUCCGGUUCUGACGCUGAGGCGCGAAAGCGUGGGGAGCAAACAGG